rnacentral:rRNA from 1 species
GAUGAACGCUAGCGGCAGGCCUAAUACAUGCAAGUCGAACGGCAGCACGGUGUAGCAAUACAUUGGUGGCGAGUGGCGCACGGGUGCAUAACACGUAUGUAAUUUGCCCAUAACUGGGAGAUAGCCUUCCGAAAGGAAGAUUAAUACCCCAUAACCCAGCGAGGUGGCAUCACUUUUCUGGUAAAGCUCCGGCGGUUAUGGAUAAGCAUGCGUCCGAUUAGCUAGUUGGCGAGGUAAAAGCUCACCAAGGCAACGAUCGGUAGGGGGUCUGAGAGGAUGAUCCCCCACACGGGUACUGAGACACGGACCCGACUCCUACGGGAGGCAGCAGUAAGGAAUAUUGGACAAUGGAGGCAACUACUGAUCCAGCCAUGCCGCGUGAAGGAUGAAGGCGCUACGCGUU